AUGGGCCUGCUGCCAGUUGAUAGAAAUUUUAUGAUGAUUUUAGAGAUACCUUCUGAUAUGGAGGUACAUGAGAAGGAAGAGGAGAGAAGUCAGUAUCCACUUCUAGCCUGGAAAAACUUGCAACUUUUUUCAAGUGUUUAUAUAAGUGACCAUUUACAAGACUAUUCUAGAGGAAACAUGAUAAAAUAAAUCUGUUGGAAAUGUGGCCUUUUCAAAAUUUUGAGUCAAGAGCCCUUAGUUUAAAUAUUUUGGAUUUUUAAAAUUGUUUUAAAAAAUUAAAAAAAAAUUUUUUUGGAUUUUUAAAAAUAUCUUCUGUUCCUUUCUAAUAUUGAACACCGUUUUUCAUUAUCCAAUACCUUUUCUUCUCAAGGAGAAAUUCUAUGUUCAUAUAAACAAUAGGUAUGUAAAAGCUACUUUUGAUGGGACUAUUCUAAUAGAUUGUUCUCCAGAGUAGGGAAGACAAAUCUUCAAUGCAGUUCAUAAUGGUUGGCCCUGGGUAGUAUACUCCAUGAAUACUGGUUUUUAAUGAAGAGAAGCAAAAACAAAUGAAUGGCCAAUUUGAACAAUAGACACAGAUAUUUUGCUUUGAAAAGGAGCAAAAAUUUCUGCUUAAAAUGACAUCUAUCUAAAAGUUCUUUAUGGAGUAUUUUCCAACCUCCUCUAAAAUGAUUUUAAAGAUAAAAAUGUAGUAAAAUGAAAACACAGCCCAAAUGUAACCCUUAGAGACAACCUGCUGCAGAUACUUGGAGAAAUCCCAAGACACUGAGGUUGCCGAUAUCUGGAUUGAUAACAAUUCAACUACAAAUUUAGCCUAGCUGUAUUUUGCCUACUGUAACAAAACCAACUUCACAAACUUGAAAUAAUGGAAGACAUCUCCCUUUCUUUCUAGGCUCAGAGUUAAGCCCAGGAGAUAAAUCAGCGAGGAAAAAUGUGUAAGCAAUUCCAUUUAGUCAUGUUUUUGGAGGAGAAUUAUACUGUUCUUCUACUCCCAUUUUUUCUCCAUACAAAA
rnacentral:lncRNA from 1 species